UACGGAGGGUGCAAGCGUUAUCCGGAUUUACUGGGUUUAAAGGGUUCGUAGGUGGCCUGCCAAGUCAGUGGUGAAAUACCGCAGCUUAACUGCGGAACUGCCAUUGAUACUAGCGGGCUUGAAUUUGGUUGAAGUGGGCGGAAUACAUCAUGUAGUGGUGAAAUACUUAGAUAUGAUGUAGAACACCGAUUGCGAAGGCAGCUCACUAAGCCAACAUUGACACUGAGGAACGAAAGCAUGGGGAUCAAACAGG
rnacentral:rRNA from 1 species